UUAUGUUACACUCAGGKCAGCGCGCUAACGCUGGACUGUUACGUGCGGAUGACAGGAGCUUGCUCCUGAAUUCAGCGGCGGACGGGUGAGUAAUGCCUAGGAAUCUGCCUGGUAGUGGGGGACAACGUUUCGAAAGGAACGCUAAUACCGCAUACGUCCUACGGGAGAAAGCAGGGGACCUUCGGGCCUUGCGCUAUCAGAUGAGCCUAGGUCGGAUUAGCUAGUUGGUGAGGUAAUGGCUCACCAAGGCGACGAUCCGUAACUGGUCUGAGAGGAUGAUCAGUCACACUGGAACUGAGACACGGUCCAGACUCCUACGGGAGGCAGCAGUGGGGAAUAUUGGACAAUGGGCGAAAGCCUGAUCCAGCCAUGCCGCGUGUGUGAAGAAGGUCUUCGGAUUGUAAAGCACUUUAAGUUGGGAGGAAGGGCAUUAACCUAAUACGUUAGUGUUUUGACGUUACCGACAGAAUAAGCACCGGCUAACUCUGUGCCAGCAGCCGCGGUAAUACAGAGGGUGCAAG
rnacentral:rRNA from 1 species